rnacentral:rRNA from 1 species
UCGGUCCCUAUCUGCCGUGGGCGCUGGAGAACUGAGGGGGGCUGCUCCUAGUACGAGAGGACCGGAGUGGACGCAUCACUGGUGUUCGGGUUGUCAUGCCAAUGGCACUGCCCGGUAGCUAAAUGCGGAAGAGAUAAGUGCUGAAAGCAUCUAAGUACGAAACUUGCCCCGAGAUGAGUUCUCCCUGAGACUUUAGGUCUCCUGAAGGAACGUUGAAGACGACGACGUUGAUAGGCCGGGUGUGUAAGCGCAGCGAUGCGUUGAGCUAACCGGUACUAAUGAACCGUGAGGCUUAACCUU